rnacentral:rRNA from 1 species
AUACGGAGGGUGCAAGCGUUACUCGGAAUCACUGGGCGUAAAGGACGCGUAGGCGGGUUGGAAAGUCUGAUGUGAAAUCCUACAGCUUAACUGUAGAACUGCAUUGGAAACUUCCAACCUAGAGUAUGGGAGGGGGAGAUGGAAUUAGUGGUGUAGGGGCAAAAUCCGUAGAUAUCACUAGGAAUACCUAAAGCGAAGGCGAUCUCCUGGAACAUAACUGACGCUAAGGCGUGAAAGCGUGGGGAGCAAACGGGAUUAGAAACCCCAGUAGUCC